rnacentral:rRNA from 1 species
CAGUAGCCGCGGGAAAACGUAGGUGGCAAGCGUUGUCCGGAAUUAUUGGGCGUAAAGGGCUCGCAGGCGGUUUCUUAAGUCUGAUGUGAAAGCCCCCGGCUCAACCGGGGAGGGUCAUUGGAAACUGGGAAACUUGAGUGCAGAAGAGGAGAGUGGAAUUCCACGUGUAGCGGUGAAAUGCGUAGAGAUGUGGAGGAACACCAGUGGCGAAGGCGACUCUCUGGUCUGUAACUGACGCUGAGGAGCGAAAGCGUGGGGAGCGAACAGGAUUAGAUACCCCGGUAGUCCCUGUCUCUUAUAC